ACAAGUGUGCUCCCAGCUGAGGUCAUGUGGGUCUGUGAAUGGCUUUAGAGUGGGAUUGGUGGCGUGUCUUUGUGUUUUACUGCUGCAGAAACCAGGUCUGCAACACUAACGAGAUGCAGCUGCCAGCUCAGGUGCCUGAUGGCAGAGUACGACUGAAACAAAGGAGAAGCCCAGACGAGUUCUUGUUUUCCUUCUAAAUAACUUGCACUGCUGUGAGGACAGGGAUUGCAUCCUUUGCUGCACUUCACAGAGCCUCCCACUCUCCUGAGCCUGAGGACUGCUCUGAGCACAGAGGGAAACCAGAAUGAGCCAAUGCUGAGGACACCUCUGAAUACUCUGGAGACUGUGCCUUUGACUUAUUGUUGUCCCUUAAAUGUGACCUGGUGCACAAGGGAGCAGCAACCCAAGGAAAGGAACCACAAAAGAAGCUUUGGAGAAAGCAGGAUACCCUUUUCUCUAGCAUUGGCAUAUAAUCAGUUCCUCUCUGAGGCUUUCCUUUCUGUAUUUCUUUUCUGUACCUGAGGUGCAAAUGAAAGGCAAACAAUAUGGGUCAGGUGUGAUGGUCUUGGGUAAUGAACAGCUGGGAAUAAUUACCUACAACCAGGAGGAAGGAUGAUGGAUGGAGGCAUGGACCAGCUGUGUGGCAUCUUCAGCUGGCUGCUGUGAAGGGGGGAAUCAGAAAUGCCCAGAGAAAUUGCUUGGAUGGGCUGUGGGGCUGAGGCAAAAUAUUAGUGCCAGGAACAGGCUACAGAACCCUGCUGGGGAAACACUUUCAGGGACAUUUCUUAUUGUGAGACCCCUACGCUUCCUUCUGUAAAAUGUAAUAUUAGCCUUGGCUUCCAUCAAGACAUACAUUUUCUUAAUGGGCUGUGGGAAGCCUCUGCUCCACUCUUUUUAGCCUGGAACUGUGAGCUGAGGUGUUCCACUGCCUUGCCGUGUAAUAUGAAGCAAAAGCAGAGAAUGUCAAGGAGAAAGGGGCUGCAGGCGGGGGUCAGCCCGAAUGUUCACAGGGGAACAAAUGCCCUUCUAAAGGUCUGGGAUGCUGUGCCUGAGGAGGGAGGAAUGAGUGGAGCCAGAGAGCCCCUGCUUUCUGGGAUAGCAGAGCCAAACUCACAUGUCAUGGGCUAUGUUAUAUGGCUGGGACAGUUCCUGUAGACACCAGCUUCUCCCCAUGGCUAUUUCCUACAGCUGGGGCUGGGAGAUUGCUGUCACCAAAAUGCAUGAGAAUCUCCUGCAUAGCCAGGAGGCCAGUGAAGAGCCCAGGAAACUGUUCCCCUUAAAUAGUUAAACGUCUGCCUCUCGACAAGCACAAUGUCACAUUGAAUUUGAAACAGGGAACUUUUUAUAUUUUCCCCCCUGAUUGUGCUGGCACCUGGCAGAUGCCUGUUUACCACAGGCAUCCAUACACACAGCAAUCAAAGGAAAUCAGAGGCACGGAUUAGCAACAGCUGCAAGUCAUUAGUGGCAGCCAUGGGAAAGCACAGCUCUGCACCCCGCUUCGAAAUAACCAACGUGAGUAUUCCAGAGCGCAGGGGUUACCGCGGGGCACUCUGCGGGCACCAGGGACAGCAAACAAUUGCCUCACUUGUCUCUGGAGAUGGCUUCUUCCCUCUGCCCAAGGCAGCAGUGUGUUAUCGAUGAAUCAAUCACACUUUAUUGGCCCACUGAACAUUAACUCUUUGGGAGGCUGACUUUCGCCAGCCGGGAGUUGUCAGAACUGGAGGAUGGGGUCUCCACCUGUACAAAAUUUCUUGUUAUCCUUUGUUUUCUUUGGGCUGACUGUUGGCAUCUUUGGCAGUGUCUCAACACAAGUGAGGACUUGGGAUCUCCUAGAGUUAAUGCUCAUUUUACAGGAAGUUUUAUUAGAGCGAAUGUAAAGCAAAAGCUGACCAAAAGCCUUAUUUGUGUAUCUGAUUUCUUUAUUCAAUUCAUUUUGAACCAGAAUAGAGUCCAAAUUUUAUUUAAAAACUUAAUGUUGAUUGAAAUUUCCAUUGCAGAUUUAGGCAGCUUGGGUUUCUAUUUUGAUCAGUCCCCGGAAAAGCUGAUUUUACUUCAAAGCAUCUCUGACUCUUGGAGGAGCAGGAAGCUGGUGGCCUAUUAAUAGAGAGCAGAACCAGCAUCACUGAGGCACGGCUGAUUCUCCAGCAGUCCUGACAUAUUUGGCUCUAUCUGCCCUCCUUUCUCUCUGGCUCAGCAUGGCUUUCACCAUCACAGGUGCAGUCCCCAAGCUGUGUGUGUGGUCUUUGUGGUCCACAAGAAGGACCUGCCUGCCUUGCCCCAGAUAGAUGGGAACCCCAUCCCUGCCUUGCACUGGACCAUUGCCAUGAGGAGGUGGAAGCAUGUGAAGGAGUUGACACAAGAAGAUGUACAAAUGCUGAUAGCUGGUACUUCAAAAUACCCCUUGAGCUUCUGUUUUUCCUCAAGGAGGGCAAUAGGAGGAAAAGGAAUGGAAGCAAGGAAGGUAGUCACAGAGACUAGAGAAAUGGAAAGUGGGAGGGACAGGAAAAGACCUUUCCAGAAAGGUCAGGGCCAGCCUGAACCUUGUAGCUCCUGGGUUUCCUUCCAGUUGCCAAAGCUUCAGUUACUUUCAGCUUCCCACCACACACCUUAUUUCUUAUCUUCAGUCCCAAGCCUCACUAAUUACCAAGGUCUGGUCAGAUCCAGCUUUCUCCAAAUCCCUUUCUCUUAUGUUCUCUCUGCUGUUACUAGAAAAGUUGAAUUUGGUUUCCCCAAGAUAGCAUCAUUUACAUGGAGGGAAAAAUGGGAUUUAGUCUUGUCUUCCAAGGCCUCUUAAAAUGGCUCUGCAAACAGUAAGAAACAUGCAAACAGAAUAUUAAAGUUAACAAAGGGAAGAGUGAUUUAAAAGUAAAAUAAAAGUGAAUUGUCUCAAAACACCAAGUGUUGCAAAUACUUGCCUCUUCUAGUGCAAAGGUGAAACCAAGGAGAAAAGAGGGUGAAAGUAUGUUAGUUCCAACAUUCCCUCAGUUCUGCAGCUGUUUCCAUUUGAACACUAUUUUAGGAUCACAAAAGUCUACAGAGAGCAAGACAGGUAUUUGCAAAAGAGCUUCAUUGCUACUAGCUGCAGAACGUGAGGUGGCUUUUUGUGUGGUUCUUGAGGGAAGCAGACCAGCUCUGGGAAAAUUCCUGGGUAAAUGCUUGUUUUUUCAAGGAUUUACUGAUUUUCUCUUAAGUUUGUGAAAUGUUGGAAGAGUACUUUCCUCCUUCAUACUUUUGCUAAAAUGGUGAGUAAAGGAAGAUGCACAUUUUGGUAAACUAUUUCUAGGGGAGGUUUUUUUUUUGUUGUUCAGUAGGAGACACUGUUUUCUGCAUGUUUUCUGUCCUGUCUUCAGCUUAGGAGUUAGUGUUUUACUUGCUGAGUUACAAAUCAUGCUGGAUUUUGUUUUGGUACUUUAAAGUAAGACUGGGGUACCUCCUUCAGCUCAAUGUAGUCUCACUGGCUGGCGUUCAAAGUACAGUGUGCUGUGUGCGCUUGUGGUGCUCAGGUUCUGGGCACUUCUCUACCUUUGAAAUUCAUAAUGAAACUCCUUCUGUUCCAGUUAGACGUGUUAAUCCAGACAUUUUCUUGCUAAUGUUCUGAAAACGGUGGAUGAUAACUUGUACUUACACUGUGAGACUUUGUUUUUAAAACUGGCAAAUAAUCAUAUAAAUAUUAUGCCUUCAGAGAAAUUAACAUCCUAUCUUCUUGAUAUUUCUUUUUUCUUUUCUUUU